CCCCAUCUCUGGAAUCAUAAAUUCUCCCAAGCUCUCUCUCUUGACUCCACACACACACACACACACACCGUCUGGAGUCUCCAGUUCUCUGAUCCCGACACGGAAGGACUCUGGUCAAGAUAAUGAAGCCUCUGAUCCUGGUUCUUGCUCUCCUGCUGAUCGCUCAGGAUUUCCAGGUCAUGGGAUUCUCCUAUGGAUGUGCCAGAAUACGAGGGGGCAGAUGUCGAAGUGGUUCCUGCUACAAGAAAGAGGUUCAGAUACCCUUGAGGUGCUUCAAGGGGUAUAAAUGCUGCAUGCCGUAUCGAUUCAUGAGAGGAUGAAGGAGGGAAGGGAAAUCAAGGCCAGUGACUCCAGCCCCAAUCCAAAGGCCCGUGUCUCCAGCACUGCCUUGAGGCUCCACGGACUGUGUAGGGCCCAUGCCCCCUGACCCACUGGUUCCUGGAUCAUGUGAAUAAAACUGGCUGCGUUGGUCACUG